rnacentral:rRNA from 1 species
GCGGCUGCGUGUAAUCGGCGAGGCCGAGCGUCGAUAGAUCGGAGCCGUAGCCGGACUGCUUGGUCCCGCCGUGCGGCAUGUCGGCCGUGUAGGUGAAAUGCGCGUUCACCCACGUGACGCCCGCGUCGAUGCACGCGGCGAGCCGCAUGCCGCGCGCCGCGUCGCGGGUCCAUACCGACGAAGCCAAUCCGUAUUCCGAAUCGUUCGCCCACCUGAGCGCUUGUGAUUCGGUGUCGAACGGCGUGAGCGUGACGACCGGGCCGAACGCUUCGCGGCGCAUCGGCGCGUCGUCGUGGCGCACGCCGGCGAUCACGGUCGGCGCGUAGUAGCAGCCGGGGCCGGGCAGCGGCGCGCCGCCCGUGAGUACGCGCGCGUGCCGCAGCGCGGCCGCCUCGCGCACGAAGCGCUCGACGCGCGCGCGGUGCGCGGCGCUCACGAGCGGCCCCAUCUCGGCAUCCGCGCGAUCGGGCGGGCCGACGCGCAGCGUGCUCGCCGCAUCGGCGAGCCGCUGCGCGAGCGUGUCGUAGAUGCCGCGCUGCACGUAGAUGCGCGUCGCCGCCGUGCAGUCCUGCCCGGCGUUGUAGAAGCCCGCGUAGCGGAUGCCGGCGACGGCCGCGUCGAGAUCGGCGUCGUCGAACACGAGCACGGGAGCCUUGCCGCCGAGUUCGAGAUGCGUGCGCUUCAGAUUGCCGGCCGCCGCGGCGAGCACGGACUUGCCCGCUUCGACCGAGCCCGUCAGCGAGAUCAUCCGCACGCGCGGAUGCGUGGCGAGCGCGCGGCCGACGCUCGCGCCGUCGCCGAGCACGAUGUUGACGACACCCGUGGGAAAGAUGCGCGCGAGCGCGGCUUCGAGCGCGACGAUCGACAGCGGGGUCCAUUCCGACGGCUUGAACACGAUCGUGUUGCCGGCCGCGAGCGCCGGCGCGAGCUUCCACGCGGCCAUCAUCAGCGGGUAGUUCCACGGCGCGAUCUGUGCGACGACGCCGAUGGGAUCGCGCCGCACCAUGCUCGUGUGGCCCUCGACGUAUUCGCCGGCGGACGGCCCGCUCGCGGUGCGCGCCGCGCCCGCGUAGAAGCGAAAGCAAUCGGCGACGGCGAGCAGUUCGUCCUGCACGACGAGAUGCAACGGCUUGCCGGUGUUGCGGCUUUCGAUUCGCGCGAGCGCGCCCGCUUGCCGGUCGAUUUCGUCGGCGAGCGCGAGCAGCAGGCUCGCGCGCGUGGCCGGUGUCGUCGCGCGCCAUGCGGGGAACGCCGCUUCGGCGGCCGCGACCGCGCGCUCGAGGUCGGCCGCGCUCGCGGCGGCGGGCGCCGCGAGCGGCUCGCCCGUCGCCGGAUCGACGAUCGACAGCGGCUCGCCGCCCCCUUCGAUGCAAAGGCCGUUGAUCAGCAUGUUUCGUUUUCCUCGCGAACGGGGGCAUGUUGCGCGAGCUCGCGCUGCGUGCGCUCGAGCGCGGCCGCGAGAAUCGCGCAGAUUUCGUCGAUGUCGGCGCGCGUCACGGUGAGGGGCGGCGACAGGAUGCACAUGCUCUCGUAGGGCCGCACGAGCAGGCCCAUCUCUUCGCAGUGGCGAUCGACGCGCUGCGCGAUCGCGAUGUCCGCAGGCGUCGGCAACGCGCCCGUCGCGCCCGCGCCGCUCGUGCAUUCGAUGCACGCCAUCAGAUGAUCGCCGCGCACGUCGCCGACGAUCGGCAGGCGCCGCAGCGCAUCGAGCCGGCGAAUGAAGUACGGGCCGACGUCGCGCACGUGCUCGCAGAUCCGCUCGCGCUCCAUCAGCUCGAUGUUGGCGAGCGCGGCCGCGCAGGCGACCGGAUGGCCCGAGUAGGUGAAACCGUUCGUGAACACACCGUUGCCGUACGCGUGCUCGCCGGACACCGCAUCGACGAGCCGCUCCGAGAUCAGCACCGCGCCGAGCGGCUGGUAGCCGGAGGUGAGCCCCUUCGCGACGACGAUCAUGUCGGGCUCGAUGCCGAAGUGCGCGUGCGACGCGAAGAAGUGGCCGACGCGGCCGAAGCCCGUGACGACUUCGUCGCUGAUGUACAGGAUGUCGUGCCGGCGGCAGCGCUCGCGCAUCGCGGCGAGAUAGCCGGGCGGCGGCACGAUCACGCCGCCCGACGCGAGGAUCGGCUCGGCGAUGAAGCAUGCGAUCUGCUCCGCGCCGAGCUUCGCGAUCAGCGCGUCGAAUUCGUCGACGAGCGACGCGCAGAACGCGUCGACGCUCAUGCCGGCCGGCCGCCGGUACGGGUUCGGCGACGACAGGUGAUGGACGAUCGUGCUGUCGUAGUGAAAGCACGUGCGGUCCCACGCCUUGCCGGAUAUCGAUGCGGCGAGAUACGUGCUGCCGUGGUACGCGUCGCCGCGCGUGACGAUGUGGCGCUUGCGCGGGCGGCCCGUCGCGCCGAAGUAGUAGUGCGCGAAACGCAGCGCCGAUUCGACCGCUGUCGAGCCGCAGGUGGUCAGGUGCACGCGCUUCAGAUCGCCGGGCGCGAGCUCGGCGAGCCGCGCGCCGAGCGCGGCGGCGGGCUCGUUCGUCAUCGCGCCGAACGGCGUGUAGAACGGCAUGCGCAGCGCCUGAUCGCGGAUCGCGUCGGCGAUCUCGCGCCGGCCGUAGCCGAGCGUCACGCACCACAUGCCGCCGAUCGCGUCGAGAUAGGUACGGCCUUCGGCGUCGGUCACGCGCGUGCCCUGCGCUUCGACGAUGACGGUCGGCGUCUCGCGGCCGAGCGCGGACAGAUCGGCCCACGGGUGCAGCAGAUGCCGCGUGUCCUGCUGCGCGCUCGUGAGAAGGGAAUCGUUUCGGUAUGCCAUAUGUUGCCUCAGUCGGUCAGGCUGACGAGAUGCAGGCGCGGCCCGGAGAACGCGAAGCGGCCGUGCUGCACGUAGACGUUGUCGAGCACGAGCACGUCGCCCGGGCGCAUCGCGACCGCGCGCGACGUGCGCCACAGCGCCGCGCGCAGCUUCGUGACGAGCUCGGGGUCGAUCGGCUCGCCGUCGCCGUAUGUCGUGGUCGCCGGAUAGCGCGCGUCGUCCCAGUCGGACGGGAAGAGCGGGUGGCUGCGCCAGUACGACGCGUGCAGCUCCGUCACCUGGUUGAACCACAGCGGCGCGCCGCCCGCGG